rnacentral:rRNA from 1 species
CAUGCAAGUCGAACGGUAACAGGAAGUGCUUGCACUUCGCUGACGAGUGGCGGACGGGUGAGUAAUGCUUGGGAACUUGCCUUUGCGAGGGGGAUAACAGUUGGAAACGACUGCUAAUACCGCAUAAUGUCUACGGACCAAACGGGGCUUCGGCUCCGGCGCAAAGAGAGGCCCAAGUGAGAUUAGCUAGUUGGUAAGGUAAAGGCUUACCAAGGCAACGAUCUCUAGCUGUUCUGAGAGGAAGAUCAGCCACACUGGAACUGAGACACGGUCCAGACUCCUACGGGAGGCAGCAGUGGGGAAUAUUGCACAAUGGGGGAAACCCUGAUGCAGCCAUGCCGCGUGUGUGAAGAAGGCCUUCGGGUUGUAAAGCACUUUCAGUUGUGAGGAAAAGUUAGUAGUUAAUACCUGCUAGCCGUGACGUUAACAACAGAAGAAGCACCGGCUAACUCCGUGCCAGCAGCCGCGGUAAUACGGAGGGUGCGAGCGUUAAUCGGAAUUACUGGGCGUAAAGCGUACGCAGGCGGUUUGUUAAGCGAGAUGUGAAAGCCCCGGGCUCAACCUGGGAACUGCAUUUCGAACUGGCAAACUAGAGUGUGAUAGAGGGUGGUAGAAUUUCAGGUGUAGCGGUGAAAUGCGUAGAGAUCUGA